rnacentral:rRNA from 1 species
GAUGAACGCUGGCGGCGUGCCUAAUACAUGCAAGUCGAGCGAACAGACGAGGAGCUUGCUCCUCUGACGUUAGCGGCGGACGGGUGAGUAACACGUGGAUAACCUACCUAUAAGACUGGGAUAACUUCGGGAAACCGGAGCUAAUACCGGAUAAUAUAUUGAACCGCAUGGUUCAAUAGUGAAAGACGGUUUUGCUGUCACUUAUAGAUGGAUCCGCGCCGCAUUAGCUAGUUGGUAAGGUAACGGCUUACCAAGGCAACGAUGCGUAGCCGACCUGAGAGGGUGGUCGGCCACACUGGAACUGAGCCACGGUCAAGACUCCUACGGGAGGCAGCAGUAGGGAAUCUUACGCAAUGGGCGAAAGCCUGACGGAGUAACGCCGCGUGAGUGAUGAAGGUCUUCGGAUCGUAAAACUCUGUUAUUAGGGAAGAACAAAUGUGUAAGUAACUAUGCACGUCUUGACGGUACCUAAUCAGAAAGCAACGGCUAACUACGUG